GUUUUUCCUGGAGCAGGUCAAUAGUCUGAAGCCAAAGGCUGUAACUUCGAGGACACCACUCAGCAUUGAGCAUGGCUAAUAUAGAGCUGCUGUAUUCUCCAGAGUUUCCUGAAUUUAUUGCAGAUUUCCAGCGUCCACAGUUUACUUAUAUUUCAAUGAAAUGUGAGAGAGAACCUCACCAUAAAAAUGGACCAAGACUGCGCAGUUCGAAAGCCAGUCUCCUGACAGCAACCAAUGUCUCAGCAAAUAUAGAGAAAGACUAUAUUUCUCCAAGAGAAAUAUAGAAACAUCCAAGAGACUUCCACAGAGAGAUAACUAUACCAGGCAUUGCUACAAAGUUGAAUAACAGCAACUCUCUCUUCAUUUUGCUUACAAGUUCACAAGUACCGAACAUAGCUCCGCUAAAAAUUGGAAUACAUCAAGGAGAGUGAAUUGUUUUUGAAAAUGGCAUGUGCCAUAGCAUCCACUGUUGACAAGAGCUCAUUGCAGCUUAAAAGAGACUGUAACCACAAGAAUUAACAAGUUGGACUGCAACUUCUACCAGACAUUCAAGACUAGAAUCACUUUUUCUUUCCAACAUCAGCUUUGAAAUUCUAUCUCCACCCCACCAUCCUGUAACUUGUUCAGUUCGCUUGUAUGCUUGGAAAUGCUUGUAUUCAGGAUAGGUUUCAUCUUUUUGA